rnacentral:rRNA from 1 species
ACGGGAGGCAGCAGUGGGGAAUAUUGCACAAUGGGCGCAAGCCUGAUGCAGCGAUGCCGCGUGAGGGAAGAAGGUUUUCGGAUUGUAAACCUCUGUCAACAGGGACGAAAAUGACGGUACCUGUGAAGGAAGCUCCGGCUAACUACGUGCCAGCAGCCGCGGUAAUACGUAGGGAGCAAGCGUUAUCCGGAAUUACUGGGUGUAAAGGGCGUGUAGGCGGAGCUGCAAGUCAGAUGUGAAAUCCCGGGGCUCAACCCCGGAACUGCAUUUGAAACUGUAGCCCUUGAGUAUCGGAGAGGCAAGCGGAAUUCCUAGUGUAGCGGUGAAAUGCGUAGAUAUUAGGAGGAACACCAGUGGCGAAGGCGGCUUGCUGGACGACAACUGACGCUGAGGCGCGAAAGCGUGGGGAGCAAACAGGAUUAGAUACCCUGGUA